UAUCUGGUUGAUCCUGCCAGUAGUCAUAUGCUUGUCUCAAAGAUUAAGCCAUGCAUGUCUAAGUAUAAGCACUUGUACUGUGAAACUGCGAAUGGCUCAUUAAAUCAGUUAUCGUUUAUUUGAUUGUACCUUUACCACUUGGAUAACCGUGGUAAUUCUAGAGCUAAUACAUGCGAAAAGUCCCGACUUCUGGAAGGGAUGUAUUUAUUAGAUUCAAAACCAAUGCGGGUUCUG
rnacentral:ncRNA from 1 species